rnacentral:misc_RNA from 1 species
GAAAUGCGAUAGGUAGUGUGAAUUGCAGAAUUCAGUGAAUCAUCGAAUCUUUGAACGCACAUUGCGCCCCUUGGUAUUCCAUGGGGCAUGCCUGUUCGAGCGUCAUUUGUACCCUCAAGCUCUGCUUGGUGUUGGGUGUUUGUCCCGUCUCCGCGCGUGGACUCGCCCCAAAGUGAUUGGCAGCCGGCGUACUGGUCCCGGAGCGCAGCACAUGUCGCGCAAACGAGUGCCUUGGUACGGCGGCGUCCAUAAGCCCCUCUCUCACGCUCUUGACCUCGGAUCAGGUAGGGAUACCCGCUGAACUUAAGC